UACGUAGGGUGCGAGCGUUACUCGGAAUUACUGGGCGUAAAGCGUGCGCAGGCGGUUCGUUAAGUUCGAUGUGAAAGCCCCGGGCUCAACCUGGGAACUGCAUUGGAAACUGGCGAGCUUGAGUGUGGCAGAGGGGGGUGGAAUUCCGCGUGUAGCAGUGAAAUGCGUAGAGAUGCGGAGGAACACCGAUGGCGAAGGCAGCCCCCUGGGCCAACACUGACGCUCAGGCACGAAAGCGUGGGGAGCAAACAGG
rnacentral:rRNA from 1 species